GACGAACGCUGGCGGCGUGCUUAACACAUGCAAGUCGAACGGAAAGGCCCUGCUUUUGUGGGGUGCUCGAGUGGCGAACGGGUGAGUAACACGUGAGUAACCUGCCCUUGACUUUGGGAUAACUUCAGGAAACUGGGGCUAAUACCGGAUAGGAGCUCCUGCUGCAUGGUGGGGGUUGGAAAGUUUCGGCGGUUGGGGAUGGACUCGCGGCUUAUCAGCUUGUUGGUGGGGUAGUGGCUUACCAAGGCUUUGACGGGUAGCCGGGCUGGGCGGGUGGCCGGCCACAUUGGGACUGGGAUACGGCCCAGACUCCUACGGGAGGCAGCGGUGGGGAAUAUUGCACAAUGGGCGGAAGCCUGAUGCAGCAACGCCGCGUGCGGGAUGACGGCCUUCGGGUUGUAAACCGCUUUCGCCUGUGACGAAGCGUGAGUGACGGUAAUGGGUAAAGAAGCACCGGCUAACUACGUG
rnacentral:rRNA from 1 species